GGAUCCAGGGGCAGCCCCAGCUGCUCUGGAUAAUCCACCUGGAAGUGUUUCUGUAAAAUGUGCAAUCCUCACAAUUCCAGAGCCACAACUGCAUCGCACUCCAGGCGAUGCCCACACCCACCCCUGCCAAAAUCCCUCUUCCAGCCCAGCCCAGAGUCUGUUUGGAAAGAUCAGAGCCUGUAUUUGUUUCCUGGCUUGUUUACAGCUGACAGCAGCACAAGCCAAGCGAAUCCAAGGAAAUCAAAUCCCUGGCAGUGCCCUGCUCACCCCUGCACUGCUGCAGAAAUCUAUUCCCAUGGCCAGGGCCACUCCAACUGCAUCAAAUUCCACUUAAACUCCAUCAGCCAGCAGCAGCCGUGCAGAAACACAUUCCCAAAGCUCCUGGAGCUCCUGCCUCGGCUCCAGAGGCACCUGGGGCCGGGAAUUCCUCAUCCACCCAAGGCAAGGCUGGGAGCUCGUUCCACCUGUGGCCAUCCCUCUGCCAGCCCAACAAUCCAGAGCGCAGGGCUCGCUCCCAGGGAGAGCUUCAUGCUCAUUCCCAGGGAGAGCUUCAUCCUCAUUCCCAGGGAGAGCUUCAUCCUCAUUCCCAGGGAGGGCUUCAUCCUCAUUCCCAGGGAGAUCUUGAUCUCCAUUCCCAGGGAAAUCUUCAUCUCCAUUCCCAGUGAGGAUUUGAUCCCUGUUCCCAUCAAGGAUUUGAUCCCCGUUCCCAGGGAGGAUUUGGCUCCUUGGGGGGAGCCUGGGGGUGCAGGACCCCAGAGCUGCCUCUCCCUGAGGGACCCCCAGAGAGGACAAAGCCAUUGAAGCCAGGAAAUGCACAAACAACGGGAGAUGUUGAGUCCCUUUUCCCUCCAUCCCCUCCGUUUCUGUCCAGGAUUGUAUUUUAUUCCCAAAUCAGGUUGCAGAUUGUACAUUGUGUUACGAUUAGCAAAGAAUAAUUAUAUAUAUAUAUAUAUAUAAAUAUAUAUUUUACUCUUUUUUAUUCAUUUCUAAAUAAAUCCCCUCGGGAUGCCA
rnacentral:lncRNA from 1 species